UACAGAGGUCCCAAGCGUUGUUCGGAUUCACUGGGCGUAAAGGGUGCGUAGGUGGUGAGGUAAGUCGGAUGUGAAAGCUCGGAGCUCAACUCCGAAAUGGCAUUGGAAACUACCCUGCUAGAGGGUCGGAGGGGGGACUGGAAUACUUGGUGUAGCAGUGAAAUGCGUAGAUAUCAAGUGGAACACCAGUGGCGAAGGCGAGUCCCUGGACGACUCCUGACACUGAGGCACGAAAGCUAGGGGAGCAAACAGG
rnacentral:rRNA from 1 species